UCUUAAGUUAUGACUAUUAUAGUCAAAACUGCCUUUUCUCUAUGAAGAGACAGAGUGAUGAAGGGGAGGGCUGAAUGUCUUUCAUUUGUUGCUGCAUCUGAUCCACCUUUUCAUCUGGCAGCAAAUGAGCACUCCUAACAGAAAGCAUUCAUCAAAGGGAUAAUUCUCCUCCCCCUCUGAAAUUAUGCAGCUUUUGUUGUCAUUGGAGCUGGGUGGUUAUUGAACUUUGCAGACCUGCUGAGCCCAAAGAGUGAGAACACCAUCCAAAGUCAGCAGGGUGAUACUGUGUGCUUCAGAGAUAUGGCUUGUGCAACGGAAGGCACUGGCGGUUGCUAUGGCAUUGUGACACCAAGAUCAUUCCUUAUGAAUGUUGCUGUGACUAAAGUGGUUUAUGAGUCAAAAGACUCAUGGAACUCCUUAAGAAGAAAAGAUGAUUGCACCUCAAUGGGAUAUGGGAAAAGGACUAAGGGAGAUAAGCCUCUGAAUGUGAGAUAGAGAGGACAGGAUGAGUAAACUGACAUGUUAUUUGUCACUGCAGGAUGAAAUGCUUGUCUUUGAGAACAGCUGGCUGCCUAUCUUUGUAUCUCUAAUGCCUAACCCAGUGCCCAGCACUUAAAAAAUGCUGGCAGACUUGAUUGGUUGAUUGAUUGAUUGAUGACAGAUAAAAGCCUUGAUGUUCACAGGCUGAAAUCCACCAUUGAGGGCUGAGGAAUCAAUGAUAUCAGACUCAAAAUCCC